GACGAACGCUGGCGGCGCGCUUAACACAUGCAAGUCGAGCGAAGCGGCGGACGGGUGAGUAACACGUGAGUAACCUGCCUUAGACAUUGGGAUAGCCUCGGGAAACCGGGAUUAAUACCAAAUGGUCUAAGAUGGACUCGCGUCCCAUUAGCUAGUUGGUGAGGUAACGGCCCACCAAGGCGACGCUUGGUAGCCGGCCUGAGAGGGUGAACGGCCACAUGUGAACUGAGAAACGGUCCAAACUCUACGGGAGGCAGCAGUGGGGAAUAUUGCACAAUGGAGGGAACUCUGAUGCAGCGACGCCGCGUGAACGAAGAAGGCUUUCGAGUCGUAAAGUUCUUGUAUAUGGGAAGCGUUACCUGAUGAAUAAGCACCGGCUAACUCCGUGCCAGCCGCCGCGGUAAUAC
rnacentral:rRNA from 1 species